CCCUAGAUAGAUAAAUGGAUGGAUGAAUUUGUGUGUCAUCUUUGAUUUUCUAAGUUGACUGACAUGAAUUCAGAAUUGAAGAGGAGGCCCGGGUAGAAUUAAUGUCAGAUGAGCCAAACUGAAUGUGCUUAUUUCCGAAUAAUGUUCAGUCAGAAAAAACUUGAACCAAAACUGAAUAACCUACGGUCAUAAGGAAAUUCUUUGUUUGGAAACUGAUUGUCUAUCUAGAAUGUUGCAGUUGUGGCACUACAUGAUCUUACUAAUGCUGUCUUUUCUACUCAAUGUGGCUGUAUUUUCUUGGUGGUAUCACGCAGAUUGGUUCUUAUUUAUGUGGUCUAUUUUUUUAUCUAGCUAGCUAGCUAACUUGCUCCAUUUCCAUUGAACUGAAUCUAUGUAAUAGACCUUGCUAACUUGUUCUCCCUCCAUACAUCAAAAAAAAACUUGUUCUCCCUCCAUGGACCUUGCAGCCUCUUCCACAUUCCACCACCAUCAGCCUCCUUAACCCCAACCGAAGAGCUGGCCUUUUCCCCAGUAAGAUGUAACUUUUGUUCAGAGUAAUGAUUUCAGUUCAGUCUGCAUAGUUCAGCUUCAUAGAGAAGAUAAUGAUUUCUGUUUUUUAGCCUACUGCAAUUGUUUAGAGUAAUGUGUGGACAAAAUUUAGGUUUUGUCCCACAUCACAUUGCAUUGUUUGGAGGUUUUGUACAUCAGCUUCCUUUUUGAUCUUCUUAUUUAAACUUGUUGCAGUACGUGUGACACAUGACGCCUAACUACUUAACUAAUUUUCUGCUAAUUCAGCUCACACGGCGCUGUGGUACGCGGAUGUCGCUGCAGAGUAGAGAGAUACCCCUAGAAGUCGCCUUCCUGUCCACCUCUUCAGAAGUGCCACCGCCUCGGACACGACGACAUUAGAACCCAGUUCCUAUCAUAGAGAUAUGGGGUCAGGAAAACCCAUCAGUUCAUUUAUUCCUGCUAGUUAAACUUGGGCUGUUAUAGAGAUAUGCAGGCCCAUCUAAUUACAUGUUACUCUCAAACUGUUUGAGCAAUAUGCAGUGAUGUUAGUCUGUAAUGCAUUGACAAUGGCCGCUACUUCAGGCGUUGCUAGCUGCAUUUCUCUACUGCCCUGUUGUUUUGUAGGUGACGCCCUUAGUUUUGCUACUUUGCAUAUUCUGGGAGCAAUUACAGUGAGGUUAUAUGUGAUUUUUGUUCACUUAAUAUCUACACUGCUCUUCCUUGCAUAAUUUGAUGUCGUUUUACUUGGAAAGAUUGCAUUUUUAUUUGUUUGCACUAUCUUAUCUAAAU
rnacentral:lncRNA from 1 species